rnacentral:rRNA from 1 species
GUGGGGAAUAUUGGACAAUGGGGGGAACCCUGAUCCAGCCAUGCCGCGUGUGUGAAGAAGGCCUUUUGGUUGUAAAGCACUUUAAGUGGGGAGGAGGCUUACCUGGUUAAUACCUGGGCUAAGUGGACGUUACCCACAGAAUAAGCACCGGCUAACUCUGUGCCAGCAGUCGCGGUAAUACAGAGGGUGCGAGCGUUAAUCGGAAUUACUGGGCGUAAAGCGCGCGUAGGUGGUUAAUUAAGUCAAAUGUGAAAUCCCCGAGCUUAACUUGGGAAUUGCAUUCGAUACUGGUUAGCUAGAGUAUGGGAGAGGAUGGUAGAAUUCCAGGUGUAGCGGUGAAAUGCGUAGAGAUCUGGAGGAAUACCGAUGGCGAAGGCAGCCAUCUGGCCUAAUACUGACACUGAGGUGCGAAAGCAUGGGGAGCAAACAGGAUUAGAUACCCUGGUAGUCC